rnacentral:misc_RNA from 1 species
AUGAGGAGUAACAUGCAGUGACACACAAAACUAGCAUCUCAAUGAUAUCAGCAAGUCCCUUUAGUUUGCUAGUAAAAACAUAACAUUUUUUGCUAAAAGUGAUUCAAACUUUCCAUCAUACACUGAAAAUAAACAUCUAAUCGGGAAAAGGAGUAAACUGAGACUCCCGAAAACUACCAAAAAACAGUAACAACCAUUAACUUCACAGAUGCAAAACAAUCUGCAACAAAAGCUUUUUCUGGAUUGAGCUAUAAACCACAUCCAUCCA